UAGAAAGUACCUGUACUAAGGUGACUUACAAUGCUCUGUGCUGGGACUGCUUCCAACUCAACAGAAAAUGCAUUGAAAAUUCCUGUAUUAAGUGACCUUUUAAGUUCUUGACAGGUGCCAAAAGGUUGAGCCUGUUCAUACUUAAAUAGUCAUCUUACUGCACUGAAGGGGAAGAAGAGCUUGUGGCAUGAUGGGCUUUCCAGCCUGCCAUUCUGAGCAAGUUGCCCAUCUUCAAAUUGCAGCAAAUAGCACAGUGACAGUAGAAUUGAAGUGUAUGCAGCAUUGAGCAAAAGCAUGAAGGUGCAGCUCGUCAGAUCUCAGCAGCUUCUGUUGCUGGGAAGAGAAGAUAAGCAGCCAAUAUUGAUAAUAUAUCCUUGCAUGUCCCAUUCCCACUGUGCCUCUUAUAGCCCCAUGUGUUCCACCCAUGGAACAUUCAUACUCACCAGCUGAUGGGGAAUACAACUGCAAAAUUUGCCAGUAUGCCAGGAUUUUGCUAUUGGCUCAGUUAGUACAGGUUAGAAACCACAUUUUCCUUUUUGUAUUGGGUUUAUGGACAAGGUUUGGCUGACAUGACAUUCUUAUGCUGAUAAUCAAAGCCAUGUGUAAGAAGCAGUAGGGAAAAAAAAAGUUCCUGUCUCCUUGUUAAACCUCUUCUAUUGAAAAUUCACAACUAUUUUUCUUAUUACUGUUUCCUCUCAAGAUGGGUGAUGUAGACAAGCAUAAUAAAGGAUAAACAUUCAGAAACACAGCCAUGGGAAGAGAAGAGGGAAUUCUAUUUCUGGUCUCAAAUCAAACCUUCAAACCCCAGUAUCCAAGAAGGAUUAAAAAGAUGACUAAUUUUGUUGUUGGUAUUGACAGGUAUAUAGAUCACAGUAAAGCAGAGAGUCUUUAGAGGAGCCGGGAAGAUAGUUUCUUCCUAAUAUGUAUUCCAGCUUGGAAGUGAUCAGGGAUGAAAAACUAGUGUUUUAGAAGCCAUAAGGAGGCUGUAAGUAAUUUAGAUGGCUACACAACUCUGGGACUGACUUUUCUUUCCAGAGUCUUUGAAGUAUUGAACUGCUGAUCCAAACCUGCCUAAACCUCAGACAGGCUCUCUGUGGCAGCAGACACAGAAAAGGGGAAAUACACAGGUUUUUAUCUCUUUGCUACCGCAUUUUCAGAUCUGGGGGCUAAUUGUACAAGCUUCCUCACCUCUGUCUGGAUGUACCAGAAGCUGAUAGAGGGUGAGCACCCUGUGAAGUAAAAGAUAAAGUCCUUCCCUCAAGCAGAACUCCUUUGAGUGUAAUCAUCAAAAAAUCCUUGAUCUGAAUGUGCUUUGCAGUCUCUGCUGAGGCUAAUAGACACACAUCCACUUUGUUUAGGGGUGGCUAUGGUGGUGCUACAUUGAUGGUUGGACUAGAUGAUCUUGAAGAUCUGUUUCAACCUUGAUGAUUCUGUGAUAUCCAGGUAAACAUGGGUGCUAGAGGAAAAUCUGGAUACCUGCAUCAGAGAGCUGAGAAGCAAAACCACUUACAGAUUCUGACCAAAUCAAUUCAUGCUGAAGUCUGUGAUUCUGCAAGUAUUCUACUGCUAUGUAAAAGUGCUUCAGCAUGUGUAACAGGAGGAAAAUAACAGCUUCUGAGUGGGAGCUGAUCAAGUCUUACAUAGAGUGUGUGAAGCAGAGAGCAGCUACAGUAAACCAAAGCUGUUCUCCAUAAACCAGCUGCCCUGCAAACCAGAGAUUCAUAGAUGUCCUGCAGAUAUCAUACCAUAAAAUGAAAGCACCUCCCCUCAUCAUGUCUGCAUUGAAAGAUUCAGAUUGUUGCCAAUGUCAGCAAAACUGAUGAAGACAGCAGUGGGAAAGCAGCUUUGUGUGUAACAGUAAUUGGUUCUGAAUUGGUUGACAAUUCUAAUAGCUUUCAGCCGACUUGGACAAAGGGGCAAGCUAUGGACACUGCAGCAACACUGAAGUGAGAUAAGGCAUAAUGAAAAGGCAAGAAGUGUUAAGUUCUUCUGUGUAAUUACUGCCUGCCCUCCAUGUGAAAGGCCCCUCUAACUCAUCCAGCUGACUGAGACCCCUCUUGCCUUCAGAAAAAGCCCCUGCUCUGGUGCCACCUUACAGGCACAGCCCUGAGCAGCAGUACUGCAGUUUAGAUACUACAUUCAAAAGGCUUCAGCAAAGGAAAAACACUAAAUGCUGGUAAGUCUUAAACAAAUGGAGAAUCAGUGGCAAAAACUACAACAGAGAUUCCAAACUACUCCAGAAAUGUGAUGCAAUGAAGAAAGGCUCUUAUACCCACCAUGAUGUAUAACAUGGAUAGAAGAUGGAAAGGUAGCAGCUGGAGGAGUAAAAGCAACAGUUAAGAGAAAGGCAGAUAAGAAGAAGGAAAAUUAUCUGAGUGCUGAUUUGUGGAGGCUGUUCUCUGCUUCAAAGUACCCUGCACCAGCAAUACCAAGCAUUUUUUUUGGUAAUGCAUGCAUUGGUGAGCACUCUGGAUAAUGUAAUGGCCUACCCUAAGUCUCUGAUUUGUAACUGAGUGUAUAUUUAGCUGUAAAGGUUCUGUGAGGGUAGCAGGUCAGGUGGACUACAGCCCCUCUGCAGACCAAGCUUCUUACUGUACUCAGUAGAUACUACUUGUCCUGACAUUGCUGUGGUCUUAGAGAUUGAAUCUCUGUUCAGCUUUGGAUGGCACAAAUGCAGAAAACUCUUGUUAUAGGCUACCUCUGCCUGUCACUAUCAUAUGGAUGUGAUCUGGUAUUGCUGACCCAGUGAAGACAGGCUCCUUGAGUGAGCAGGCACUGCAAAGCAAACAGAAAGGUGAUUCUCAAAGCACAAGAAAUAGCAAGAUUCAGAGUAUGGGCAAAUAAUGAUAGUAAAACCCCCUUCUGUUUAAGAAAAUUCACACCCAUAAAUAGACAAGUGAUGAAUUUACCUGCAUAAAUGUCUUUCUGCUUUUCAGGAAGAUAUUACCAGAUGAAGACUGCAAUAAAUCUUGUAGCAGAAUUGAAUGUUUUACUGAGAGGUCAUUUCUUAAUUGAAAUUGUCCAGAAAGAAGAAUGGCUAUGAGUUAAGGUAUAAUUGCAGGGCCACAUGCCUUUUGUAUGAAUAAAGAAGCUGGUCACAGCUUUUCUGUCAAAAUGAUUACCGACUUGAAAAUUAUUGGUCAAGUUGGCAUUUUUUGUGGAGUGUGUCUCCUUAUACAGAAGUAUUCUUCAUUUGUGUUGCUAGAAGCCUAAACCAGUGCAAGGUCUCAGACACUUAUUUCCCUUAUGAUAUCUAACUGAAUCACAUCUGAUUUAUAUUUUGUCUUGCUUUUUGAAAAGUCAAUAUUUUUUCUGCAUUUUCUCUCCAUUGCUCUUGCCUGCCCACUGCUUAUGAAGGGAGAAGCUGAGAAAUAAAGCAGCCACAGAACAGAGUACCUCUCAAUGGACAAUGUGCUUUAGCAGUGACUGAGGGCUCCUUUGAAACCAACAAUAAAAGCAUCUUUUCUGUCGAGGAGUACAAGGCUCACAGGGGCAAGAGACUUUAAUGACACCAUUAUCUUUCAGGCAAUUAGGACUUGCUGGCACCAUCCAGCACUGGUACAGGCACUGUUUUGAUUGCACUGCAAUGGCUUAGUGAAAUGUAGACUGCUGAGACUUAGCAAUACCAUAAAUCGCUUUUAAUCUCAAACCACUGUGGAUCAAAACGUACUAACACAGGCAUAAUCAGAAUUCACAGGCAUAUUUUCUCUUUUAAAAACAUAUGCCUGGGAACAGAGGGCUCCCUCCUCCCAUCAGCUCCCCACACACACAGGCUGUGUGAUGCUGAUCCUCGCGCUUCUCUCCUGACACGCUCGCCACAGAGACGGGUCUGAG